AGAGACUUAGGUUAACCUAC
rnacentral:tRNA from 1 species